rfam:Ixodes scapularis strain Wikel colony gcontig_1108378321822, whole genome shotgun sequence.
GUCCGGCUAGCUCAGCCGGUAGAGUAUGAGACUCUUAAUCUCAGGGUCGUGGGUUCGGGCCCAACGUUGGGUG